GCCGACAUGACGGAAUUGGCAGACGUUUGGGACUUAAAAUCCCAUGGGUUAUCCCGUGCGGGUUCAAGUCCCGCUGUCGGCACCA
rnacentral:tRNA from 1 species